AACGAACGCUGGCGGCAUGCCUAACACAUGCAAGUCGAACGAGACCUUCGGGUCUAGUGGCGCACGGGUGCGUAACGCGUGGGAACCUGCCCUUAGGUUCGGAAUAACUCCCCGAAAGGGGUGCUAAUACCGGAUAAUGUCUUCGGACCAAAGAUUUAUCGCCUUUGGAUGGGCCCGCGUUGGAUUAGCUAGUUGGUAGGGUAAAAGCCUACCAAGGCGACGAUCCAUAGCUGGUCUGAGAGGAUGAUCAGCCACACUGGGACUGAGACACGGCCCAGACCCCACGGGGAGGCAGCAGGGGGGAAUAUUGGACAAUGGGCGAAAGCCUGAUCCAGCAUUGCCGGGUGAGUGAGGAAGGCCUUAGGUUUGUAAAGCUCUUUUCCCCGGGAUAAUAAUGACAGUACCGGGAGAAUAAGCCCCGGCUAACUCCGU
rnacentral:rRNA from 1 species